AAGUAUCCCAGGGUCUUCAGCCCACUGCCCCCUAGCAGCCCUACAAUCAAAUGGCAGAGAGUGCUGCCCCACCCCCAUGGGCGACCCUACAAUAACAAACCAGUGUGCAUAACUUGUGCUUAAGCCCAACAAUGACAAAGGAGUGUACACAGCUAACUCUCCAGGGUAACCCUUUGUCAACAGAACAGUGCGUGGUGCCCAGUGUACAGAGCCCUACAAUAACAAACCACUGUUUGCAUUGGAGAAAUAUCUGUGAAGGAAACAGAUUUCAGGGUGUGGCUCCCAGGAAGCUACUGUAAACAAUGCAGAGAGGAAAGAGUUGGACAUUCUCAAAUGCGGCAGGUGAUAGCUCACCUCUCAGGACUCCGGGGUUCUCUGCCCAUCUCCACCACUGGCCUUCGGUAGGCCCUUGGUGAAACUGCAGCUUCAUCACAGUUCUCGGCCAGCUCCUGGCUCUUCAGCUUCCAAACAUGUGCUGUAAGGUACGUUCAGUCCCUGUGUGACUUCUCCUUCUGCACCGCAUGCAGGUCACAGUGCCAGCCAGAGCCAGCCAGCUGCAAAUUGUGUGUAAAUGGAACACACUUGGAAAAUGUGAGUCGAACCUCCCUCCCCCACACCCUCUCCACUUACUGCUCCACAGAAGCAUAUAACAUCCUACUACUGCUACCUUUAGUUCAAGUGGCUGUGCUAGUUCAAACCCUGUUGAAUUUGUUACGUAAAUGCCCCAAUCCCUGCUGUGGAAAGCAGCACAGAUUCUCCCCGCUUUACUUCCUUCAUCAGCAGCCACCCUCCACCCCAGAGGUGGCUGCAUUUCUGGGGCAGGGGACUCCAUUUGAGGGGGGUAAACACCCGAGAAGAAGAAUAAUUUGGCACGAAAGGCCACAUCUAGGAGAGACGGGGUGGAAUGAAGGAUGAGAGAAUUUAAACUGGCUGUCCCCCCACAGGGAAGGGGUGGGAGCCCCCUUUUGUGGGACAAGGCCCAGGAGAACACACCAAGGGUACAAUCCUUCGUGCCUUUUCCAGUACGAUCACGCAACCCCUGCACACGGGACCAGUGUCUAAUCUCAACGAGCCCCAGGUCAAUGCAGACACAGGCCAUGGACGUCACGGAAGUAACUGCAGAUUUACAUUCCACUCAGAAGCCACCUAGCGAUCCCUGUGGUGCUUUGGAAUCCUUCCGUCCGAAAGAUGUCGCGGCAGGGUUGUGGAGGAAGGCUCAAGACACAGAAUGUGCAAGUUGUGAUGGCGUGCAAAUGGAACACGGUGGGAAAGUGCGUGUCAAGCCUGCCAGUGACCUGGUCUGUGUAAGAGGAUAACAGCCUACUACUACUGCCAGCAAAUGAAGUUCAGCAAAUGGGCUCGGAACACCCCCGAGUACUGCACUGUUUGAAUCUGAGGGUUAGUUUGGGCCUUUUGUAAAAAGAGUAUCCAUACACAGCUCAGAAUGGUUAUUAGUAUUUAUUGUCUGUAUUUCAGCGAUGCCUGCAAGCCCCAGGCAGGAUCAGGGCACCAUGGCACUAGAUGCUGUAUGCGUACAUACCAAACAGACAGCCUCUGCCUCCAGGAGCUCACAGUUUAAGGCUGGAGGAGCUACAGCCGUUCACUGUACCUGCAAAGUCCUCACAUCUUCCAUUGGCUGUGACAGGCUGACAAUUUCCUGCAGUCUCCGGAAUGAACAUAAGUUCAAUCUUAUUGAAUUCGGUUAACAUCUUUGGGAUCCAGGGCCAGCUCCAGGCACCAGCAGAGGAAGCACAUGCUAAAGGGCGGCAUUCCGGCCAUUCUUGGGGCGGCACAGUCCGAGUGGCUUUUUUGUUUUUUGCUUGGGGCGGCAAAAAUGGUAGAGCCGGCCCUGUUGGGAUCCAUUGUAUUAAAAAUGCAAUUGUG